rnacentral:rRNA from 1 species
UUUAACUGAAGAGUUUGAUCAUGGCUCAGAUUGAACGCUGGCGGCAGGCUUAACACAUGCAAGUCGAGCGGGGGAAGGUAGCUUGCUACUGGACCUAGCGGCGGACGGGUGAGUAAUGCUUAGGAAUCUGCCUAUUAGUGGGGGACAACAUCUCGAAAGGGAUGCUAAUACCGCAUACGUCCUACGGGAGAAAGCAGGGGAUCUUCGGACCUUGCGCUAAUAGAUGAGCCUAAGUCGGAUUAGCUAGUUGGUGGGGUAAAGGCCUACCAAGGCGACGAUCUGUAGCGGGUCUGAGAGGAUGAUCCGCCACACUGGGACUGAGACACGGCCCAGACUCCUACGGGAGGCAGCAGUGGGGAAUAUUGGACAAUGGGGGGAACCCUGAUCCAGCCAUGCCGCGUGUGUGAAGAAGGCCUUAUGGUUGUAAAGCACUUUAAGCGAGGAGGAGGCUACUUUAGUUAAUACCUAGAGAUAGUGGACGUUACUCGCAGAAUAAGCACCGGCUAACUCUGUGCCAGCAGCCGCGGUAAUACAGAGGGUGCGAGCGUUAAUCGGAUUUACUGGGCGUAAAGCGUGCGUAGGCGGCUUAUUAAGUCGGAUGUGAAAUCCCCGAGCUUAACUUGGGAAUUGCAUUCGAUACUGGUGAGCUAGAGUAUGGGAGAGGAUGGUAGAAUUCCAGGUGUAGCGGUGAAAUGCGUAGAGAUCUGGAGGAAUACCGAUGGCGAAGGCAGCCAUCUGGCCUAAUACUGACGCUGAGGUACGAAAGCAUGGGGAGCAAACAGGAUUAGAUACCCUGGUAGUCCAUGCCGUAAACGAUGUCUACUAGCCGUUGGGGCCUUUGAGGCUUUAGUGGCGCAGCUAACGCGAUAAGUAGACCGCCUGGGGAGUACGGUCGCAAGACUAAAACUCAAAUGAAUUGACGGGGGCCCGCACAAGCGGUGGAGCAUGUGGUUUAAUUCGAUGCAACGCGAAGAACCUUACCUGGCCUUGACAUACUAGAAACUUUCCAGAGAUGGAUUGGUGCCUUCGGGAAUCUAGAUACAGGUGCUGCAUGGCUGUCGUCAGCUCGUGUCGUGAGAUGUUGGGUUAAGUCCCGCAACGAGCGCAACCCUUUUCCUUACUUGCCAGCAUUUCGGAUGGGAACUUUAAGGAUACUGCCAGUGACAAACUGGAGGAAGGCGGGGACGACGUCAAGUCAUCAUGGCCCUUACGGCCAGGGCUACACACGUGCUACAAUGGUCGGUACAAAGGGUUGCUACACAGCGAUGUGAUGCUAAUCUAAAAAAGCAGAUCGUAGUCC